UGGGGAAUAUUGGACAAUGGGCGCAAGCCUGAUCCAGCAAUGCCGCGUGUGUGAAGAAGGCCUUCGGGUUGUAAAGCACUUUUAUCAGGAGCGAAACGCUGUCGGCUAAUACCCGGCGGAACUGACGGUACCUGAGGAAUAAGCACCGGCUAACUUCGUGCCAGCAGCCGCGGUAAUACGAAGGGUGCAAGCGUUAAUCGGAAUUACUGGGCGUAAAGCGUGCGUAGGCGGUUUCUUAAGUCUGCUGUGAAAUCCCCGGGCUCAACCUGGGAAUGGCAGUGGAUACUGGGAGGCUAGAGUGUGUCAGAGGGUGGUGGAAUUCCCGGUGUAGCGGUGAAAUGCGUAGAGAUCGGGAGGAACAUCAGUGGCGAAGGCGGCCACCUGGGACAACACUGACGCUGAGGCACGAAAGCGUGGGGAGCAAACAGGAUUAGAUACCCUGGUAGUCCACGCCCUAAAGCGAUGCGAACUGGAUGUUGUCUCAACUCGGAGAUCAGUGUCGAAGCUAACGCGUUAAGUUCGCCGCCUGGGGAGUACGGUCGCAAGACU
rnacentral:rRNA from 1 species